UGUACCUGUUGUAGCUCUUUGUUAUAUUUAUUGAUAAAAGUUCUGAGGACGAAAUUUCUGAAAAUAGUGACGUGGAUAUGUAAGACAGUGACACUGACAGUGAUGAAACUGUAAACAAACAACGAAUUGCUCAUGAAAACGCAAUGGCUAUGUGGAGAUGGAAGGCCAAGUGUGUUUGUUUGCUCUAUUUGUUGAUGAAACGUCGUCGUUUAAAGGCUUUACAAAAUUCUUAUCGACCAGUUGGUAGGCUGUGGACUAGAUUCCACAACUCUUCAUCACAACGGGAGCAGCAUUCACUGUGUACAACUGUCCUUCUUGCAGAGAAAAGUAUGGCAGAUUGCUUUACCUUCCGAAACAUCACUCGAAUGUCUCCAUCCAUGUUCAAUAAACUGUUGAAAAUGGUUGGUCCAAAACUUGCAAAAAAAGACACAAAAAUGAGACGUUCAAUACCAGUUGGUAUAGACUACAUUGUUUUACUAUCUUACUAUUGUUAAUUUCCAUGUAAAAUUUUGAUGAAAUUGAAUGAAUUGAAAUAGAAUAAGCAAUAAACCAAAAUAGUUGCAAAAGA
rnacentral:lncRNA from 1 species